rnacentral:rRNA from 1 species
CAAGCUUUUAAUUGAAGAGUUUGAUCAUGGCUCAGAUUGAACGCUGGCGGCAGGCCUAACACAUGCAAGUCG